GCUAAUGGGGUAGGAUCCGACGCCUCGCUGGAAGGCUAACAUAGGCUCUCCUACUCAACUCCCAGACCGGCACGUCCACGUCGUGCAGAGCGGUCACAUGCGUUGCCCAGGGGUGCAAGGGCUGGUUGGUCCCUUUUCUUCUCUGGUCAAGAAGAAGCUGGUAACGCAUGGCCAAGCCGGAGGGAGGGGUAGUGAAGGAAGGAAGUCAAGGAAGAGAUGGGCCGCCUCUCCUUUUCUACUUCCAACACUACCUAACGGUUCCUGACGACCAAAAUGGGGAGGCUCGUGCCCCGGUCUCCCUGCAAUUGGAAUAACGAUCGAACAAACGUCGGAACAUCCAUUAAAUACCUUUAAUCGUCUUUUUUUGCAAAGAUCAACACGCAAGCAUUCCAUCCAUAGGCUUCUGGGUAGCCUCAACUUUACGUGGAAACGAUAGAACGCUGAUGAUGUCUUCAAAACCAUCUUAUAAACACAUACCAGCUUCUUAUCCACUCUCUGUGGCGCCUACCGGGAGUGUUGAUCUUGUGAAGUUGAUUGACAAUGAGUCGUCGGCCAUGAAGUAACAAUCACACCAUGAGUUCCAUGUGACUUGUAUAACGGUUUUACUACAUAAUACGAUGGUUAAGGAUUGAAACCAACUACCAUCAUAUCAUAUUCGUGCUUCAAUACUCGAGCGGACCGAUUUUAAAUGCCAGCUCAUCUGUAGUGUGCAUUUCAAGUGGUGGGCAAACGAAUAUUCCACAUUCACUGCUUGAUCUAAAGAAACUGACCCAGCCAGACUCAUCAACCAGCAGUCUGAAACUUGGGAUUUCGAGUAUGUAAUCCACCAUGAUCAAUCGACGAAACUACCAUUAUCAUCAAGAUUCGUCCAUUUUGUCCAUGACAAUACGCAGCUUCUUCGAGGCUCCACUCGGAAAAACGAGGGUUGCUUGCCAACCCAU